rnacentral:rRNA from 1 species
ACGUGGGCAAUCUGCCCUUCACUCUGGGACAAGCCCUGGAAACGGGGUCUAAUACCGGAUACGACCACCGACCGCAUGGUCUGGUGGUGGAAAGCUCCGGCGGUGAAGGAUGAGCCCGCGGCCUAUCAGCUUGUUGGUGGGGUGAUGGCCUACCAAGGCGACGACGGGUAGCCGGCCUGAGAGGGCGACCGGCCACACUGGGACUGAGACACGGCCCAGACUCCUACGGGAGGCAGCAGUGGGGAAUAUUGCACAAUGGGCGAAAGCCUGAUGCAGCGACGCCGCGUGAGGGAUGACGGCCUUCGGGUUGUAAACCUCUUUCAGCAGGGAAGAAGCGAGAGUGACGGUACCUGCAGAAGAAGCGCCGGCUAACUACGUGCCAGCAGCCGCGGUAAUACGUAGGGCGCAAGCGUUGUCCGGAAUUAUUGGGCGUAAAGAGCUCGUAGGCGGCUUGUCACGUCGGAUGUGAAAGCCCGGGGCUUAACCCCGGGUCUGCAUUCGAUACGGGCAGGCUAGAGUUCGGUAGGGGAGAUCGGA